CAAGCGAAAGCGUUAAGUAUUCCACCUGGGGAGUACGCCGGCAACGGUGAAACUCAAAGGAAUUGACGGGGGCCCGCACAAGCGGAGGAACAUGUGGUUUAAUUCGAUGAUACGCGAGGAACCUUACCCGGGCUUAAAUUGCACCCGAAUAAUCCGGAAACGGGUUAGCCGCAAGGCGGGUGCGAAGGUGCUGCAUGGUUGUCGUCAGCUCGUGCCGUGAGGUGUCGGCUUAAGUGCCAUAACGAGCGCAACCCUUGCCCACAGUUACUAACGGUUUACGCCGAGGACUCUGUGGGGACUGCCAUCGUAAGAUGCGAGGAAGGUGGGGAUGACGUCAAAUCAGCACGGCCCUUACGUCCGGGGCUACACACGUGUUACAAUGGGGGGCACAGGGGGCUGCUACCGGGCGACCGGCGGCGAAUCCCCAAAUCCCCUCUCAGUUCGGAUUGGAGUCUGCAACCCGACUCCAUGAAGCUGGAUUCGCUAGUAAUCGCGCAUCAGCCACGGCGCGGUGAAUACGUUCCCGGGCCUUGCACUCACCGCCCGUC
rnacentral:rRNA from 1 species